rnacentral:lncRNA from 1 species
CCGCUACAUUAAUUGACAAUAUUUUCACCAAUGAUAUAGAAAUUAUAGAAUCAAUCUCAAAUGGUUUAAUUUUUAGCGAUAUCUCGGAUCAUUUGCCGAUAUUUCAUAUACGAAACUCGAAAACGUAUCAUGAAAAAAUUCAAAAAAAUGAAUUUACCUGUAAAAGGAUUAUCAAUGAUGCCAAUAUUCAAUCGUUUACAAACACAAUCAAAGAUGUAUCAUGGGAUAAUGUACUUUCUAAAAACAACACGGCAGAGUCCUACAAUGAAUUCUUUAACUUACUUUCAAUAGCCUAUGAAAAAAAACUUUCCAUUAAGAAGAAAAGUAGUAAAAAGAAAUAUUGACAAAACCCGAAGCCCAUGGAUGACAAAAUGUAUUGCAAAAUCAGUUAAGCAAAAGAACAAUUUAUAUAAAAAAUACCUUCAAUGCCCUACAGAAAAAAAGGAAAAAAUAUACAAACAAUAUAAAAAUAAACUAAAUCAUAUAAUAAGAGCGGCAAAAAAGAAACAUUACGAAGAACAGUUAAUAAAAUAUAAACAUGAUACAAAGGUACUAUGGAAAACAUUAAAUGAAAUUAUGAAUCGAAAUAAAACAAGUAGUAUGUUACCAAUGGAAUUUAUUGGAAGUAAUCCUGGAGAAAAAAUUACCGAUCCAAAAUCAAUAGCAAAUAGAUUCAAUGAUUAUUUUGUAAAUAUUGGCCCAGGACUUGCGAAAAAACUUUCGAAUAGCACAACAAAUUUUGAUAAAUAUCUCACUAAUAGCUGUAAAGGAAGCUUCUUUAUUAAUCCAAUAACUAAAGAUGAAUUAGAAAAUGAGAUAAAUAAUUUGAAUUCCAAAAAAAGCCCUGGAUAUGAUGGUAUAAGCUCACAGGUAAUCAAAGCGAUUGCUCCAGAAAUUUCUGAACCACUUUCACACAUAUUUAACUUGACUUUUCUUUCUGGAACUAUUCCUGAUGAUCUAAAAAUAGCUCUAGUUACCCCUAUUUUCAAAGCAAACGAAAACAAUGAAUUUACGAAUUAUCGGCCUAUAUCUGUUCUCACUUGUUUUUCUAAAUUAUUGGAAAAGCUUAUGUAUAAGAGGUUAAUUAGCCACAAAGAAAAAAAUAAAAUAUUAACACAAAAUCAGUAUGGUUUUAGGGAAAAUAGAUCUACUGAACUUGCAAUCAUUGAACUUGUUGACAAAAUCACCCAAGCAAUCGAUAAAGGAGAAUACACAAUAGGUAUCUUCCUCGACUUGUCAAAAGCCUUUGACACAAUUAAUCACAAGAUUCUGAUUCAAAAACUAGAACACUAUGGUAUACGCGGAAUAACAAGACAGUGGUUUGAAGAUUACUUAAAAAACAGAAAACAGAUUGUUAAAUAUAACCAAGUUAAAUCAAAAGCAAUGAUAAUUAAAAGUGGUGUCCCACAGGGGUCAAUUCUUGGACCAAUUUUAUUUCUUCUCUAUAUCAAUGAUAUUGAAAAUUGUAGCAAAUUAAUUUCAUUUAUAUUAUUUGCAGAUGACACUAAUAUAUUCUAUAGUAACAAGUGUCUAAAAACACUUAAUAAGAUUAUGCAAAUUGAAAUUGAUAAAGUUGCUGAAUGGUUAAAUGCGAAUAAGUUAUCUCUAAAUACUACAAAAACAAAAGUAAUAUUAUUCCGAUCUUCAAAUAAAAAACCA